rnacentral:lncRNA from 1 species
GAUCCUAUUGAACUCGAUGAGAAUAACAAGAAUUUGAUCACCUAGAUGGAUGCCAUGCAAAGGUCCAACUCCGAUUAAUGACUUGGAGCCAUAGAAUCUGAAAUAAAGUCCAUAAAGAUCAACGAUGUAUAGACAUUCAUUGAUUCACUUGAAGGGUAAAGCCUAUAGAGUGUAAGUAGAUCUUCAAUAGGAUCAGAGUAGCGUA